rnacentral:rRNA from 1 species
GAUGAACGCUGGCGGCGUGCCUAAUACAUGCAAGUCGAGCGAACGGACGAUAAUCUUGCUUCUCUGAUGUUAGCGGCUGACGGGUGAGUAACACGUGGAUAACCUACCUAUAAUACUUGGAUAACUUCGUGAAACCUGAUCUAAUACCGUAUAAUAUUUUUAACCGCAUGGUUCAAAAGUGAAAGACGGUCUUUCUGUCUCUUAUAGAUGUAUCCGCGCUUCAUUAGCUAGUUGGUAAGGUAACGGCUUACCAAGGCAACGAUGCAUAGCCGACCUGAGAGGGUGAUAGGCAAAACUGGAACUGAGACACGGACAAGACGCCUACGGGAGGAAGCAGAAGGGAAUAUUCCGAAAUGGGCGAAAGAAUGACGGAGCAACGCCGCGUGAGAGAUGAAGGUAUUCGGAUCGUAAAACUCUGUUAUUAGGGAAGAACAAAUGUGUAAGUAAAUGUGCAGAGAGUGACGGUAACUAAUCAGAAAGCCACGGCUAACUACGUG